CGCUAGCUACAGGCUUAACACAUGCAAGUCGAGGGGCAGCAUGGUCCUAGCUUGCUAAGGCCGAUGGCGACCGGCGCACGGGUGAGUAACACGUAUCCAACCUGCCGUCUACUCUUGGACAGCCUUCUGAAAGGAAGAUUAAUACAAGAUGGCAUCAUGAGUCCACAUGUUCACAUGAUUAAAGGUAUUCCGGUAGACGAUGGGGAUGCGUUCCAUUAGAUAGUAGGCGGGGUAACGGCCCACCUAGUCUUCGAUGGAUAGGGGUUCUGAGAGGAAGGUCCCCCACAUUGGAACUGAGACACGGUCCAAACUCCUACGGGAGGCAGCAGUGAGGAAUAUUGGUCAAUGGGCGAGAGCCUGAACCAGCCAAGUAGCGUGAAGGAUGACUGCCCUAUGGGUUGUAAACUUCUUUUAUAAAGGAAUAAAGUCGGGUAUGCAUACCCGUUUGCAUGUACUUUAUGAAUAAGGAUCGGCUAACUCCGUGCCAGCAGCCGCGGUAAUACGGAGGAUCCGAGCGUUAUCCGGAUUUAUUGGGUUUAAAGGGAGCGUAGAUGGAUGUUUAAGUCAGUUGUGAAAGUUUGCGGCUCAACCGUAAAAUUGCAGUUGAUACUGGAUAUCUUGAGUGCAGUUGAGGCAGGCGGAAUUCGUGGUGUAGCGGUGAAAUGCUUAGAUAUCACGAAGAACUCCGAUUGCGAAGGCAGCCUGCUAAGCUGCAACUGACAUUGAGGCUCGAAAGUGUGGGUAUCAAACAGGAUUAGAUACCCUGGUAGUCCACACGGUAAACGAUGAAUACUCGCUGUUUGCGAUAUACGGCAAGCGGCCAAGCGAAAGCGUUAAGUAUUCCACCUGGGGAGUACGCCGGCAACGGUGAAACUCAAAGGAAUUGACGGGGGCCCGCACAAGCGGAGGAACAUGUGGUUUAAUUCGAUGAUACGCGAGGAACCUUACCCGGGCUUAAAUUGCAGAUGAAUUACGGUGAAAGCCGUAAGCCGCAAGGCAUCUGUGAAGGUGCUGCAUGGUUGUCGUCAGCUCGUGCCGUGAGGUGUCGGCUUAAGUGCCAUAACGAGCGCAACCCUUGUUGUCAGUUACUAACAGGUUCCGCUGAGGACUCUGACAAGACUGCCAUCGUAAGAUGUGAGGAAGGUGGGGAUGACGUCAAAUCAGCACGGCCCUUACGUCCGGGGCUACACACGUGUUACAAUGGGGGGUACAGAGGGCCGCUACCACGCGAGUGGAUGCCAAUCCCCAAAACCUCUCUCAGUUCGGACUGGAGUCUGCAACCCGACUCCACGAAGCUGGAUUCGCUAGUAAUCGCGCAUCAGCCACGGCGCGGUGAAUACGUUCCCGGGCCUUGUACACACCGCCCGUCAAGCCAUGGGAGCCGGGGGUACCUGAAGUGCGUAACCGCGAGGAGCGCCCUAGGGUAAAACUGGUGACUGGGGC
rnacentral:rRNA from 1 species